GUGAAACUGCGAAUGGCUCAUUAAAUCAGUUNUCGUUUAUUUGAUAGUACCUUGCUACUUGGAUACCUGUGGUAAUUCUAGAGCUAAUACAUGCUAAAAACCUCGACUUCGGAAGGGGUGUAUUUAUUAGAUAAAAAACCAAUGCCCUUCGGGGCUCCUGGGUGAUUCAUAAUAACUUAACGAAUCGCAUGGCCUUGCGCCGGCGAUGGUUCAUUCAAAUUUCUGCCCUAUCAACUUUCGAUGGUAGGGUUUUUGCCUACCAUGGUUUCAACGGGUAACGGAUUAUAAGGGUNAGAUUCCGGAGAGGGAGCCUGAGAAACGGCUACCACAUCCAAGGAAGGCAGCAGGCGCGCAAAUUACUCAAUCCCGACACGGGGAAGUAGCGACAAGAAAUACUGAUGCAGAGCUCUUUUGGGUUUUGCAAUUGGAAUGAGUACAAUUUAAACCCCUUAACGAGGAACAAUUGGAGGGCAAGUCUGGUGCCAGCAGCCGCGGUAAUUCCAGCUCCAAUANCGUAUAUUAAAGUUGUUGCAGUUAAAAAGCUCGUAGUUGAAACUUGGGCCUGGCUGGCCGGUCCGCCUCACCGCGUGNACUGGUCCGGCCGGGCCUUUCNUUCUGGGGAGCCGCAUGCCCUUCGUUGGGUGUGCCGGGGAACCAGGACUUUUACUUUGAAAAAAUUAGAGUGUUCAAAGCAGGCCUAUGCUCGAAUACAUUAGCAUGGAAUAAUAGAAUAGGACGUGUGGUUCUAUUUUGUUGGUUUCUAGGACCGCCGUAAUGAUUAAUAGGGAUAGUCGGGGGCAUCNGUAUUCAAUUGUCAGAGGUGAAAUUCUUGGAUUUAUUGAAGACUAACUACUGCGAAAGCAUUUGCCAAGGAUGUUUUCAUUAAUCAGUGAACGAAAGUUAGGGGAUCGAANACGAUCAGAUACCGUCGUAGUCUUAACCAUAAACUAUGCCGACUAGGGAUCGGACGGUGUUAUUAUUUUGACCCGUUCGGCACCUUACGAGAAAUCAAAGUUUUUGGGUUCUGGGGGGAGUAUGGUCGCAAGGCUGAAACUUAAAGACAUUGACGGAAGGGCACCACCAGGCGUGGAGCCUGCGGCUUAAUUUGACUCAACACGGGGAAACUCACCGGGUCCGGAC
rnacentral:rRNA from 1 species